AGAUGUGAGCAGAAAAUGGCUGAACCCUCUGCAUGAGGUUCUGCUCUGUCCACUCACUAAACGCUACAAAGUGGCUGUAAAGUACACAGAUGUGGGAGAUCUACCAGACGUUUGAGGAAAGAUGUCACCUGGAAGUCAUGAAAGUCUCAAAUGAAGCCUUGAUGGGAUUCAUGAAGAGCAUUGCAGACUCACGGUGAUUCAUUGACUACUUCGGCCUGAUUGAGGUGUUCUACUCAAAGGUGCCUGGCUUUUGAAGAUGCUGCCCUCUGAGAACAAAUGUCUUCAUCCGGGUCUGAGCUGCCUGUCCCGUUAUCCAUCGACAUACAAAUGGCCAAGGUUUGGUUUCCCAGUCUGCAGUGUGAGGAACAAAAGACCAGGACUGUUGCAGGUAUUUAAUUUGAAUUAUAAAAAAAAAAGUGAAGUUUACUUGCUCACAAAUUAUGUUUAACCUAAGUAGAAGUGA